rnacentral:rRNA from 1 species
CAGCCGCCGCGGUAAUACGUAGGGUGCAAGCGUUAAUCGGAAUUACUGGGCGUAAAGCGUGCGCAGGCGGUUAGAUAAGCCAGAUGUGAAAUCCCCGAGCUCAACUUGGGAACUGCGUUUGGAACUGUUUAACUAGAGUGCGUCAGAGGGGGGUGGAAUUCCGCGUGUAGCAGUGAAAUGCGUAGAGAUGUGGAGGAAUACCGAUGGCGAAGGCAGCCCCCUGGGCCAAUACUGACGCUCAUGCACGAAAGCGUGGGGAGCAAACAGGAUUAGAUACCCCCGUAGUCCCUGUCUCUUAUAC